GCCAGCUGAUUUUGUAGAAUCUGAAAAAGAAACCCUGGUAGUCAGAAGCGAUUUCCUAGCAACUGUGGCCGUGAUGGAAAACUGUUUCUUUGGGGACAAGCCCUUUAUAUCAUCGCAAAACUCCUGGCUGAUGAAUUAAUCAGUCCUAAAGACAUUGAUCCUGUUCAGCGCUAUAUCCCACUACAGAAUCAACGUAACGUGAGCGUGAGGUUUUCCAAUCAGUUGUCCACUGGGGAUAAGGUGACCCUACAGAGGACAUCCAUUUAUAGCAACCAGGGGUAGGUUUCUGGAGUUGUAGAGCAAAUGGACUUUCUUUUGAAAUGUGUAUUAUACUAAUCAAAAUACAGAAGAUUAGUGGUUAAAUAGGAAAACACACUUCAUACCUUUUUAAAUGUUUGCAGGAUUCUGUCUGAAACUAACAUAUUUAACAGGCAGUAGCAUAAGACCAGCCAGGAAUUGGGUUUCUUUUCUUCAUUUUUAAACCAACUUGAGAAAAUUUGAUGUUGUUUCUUGAAAUUGAUGUUGAAUGCAACAGAAUUUUUACAUAAAUAAGCCAUUCUAACAUCAAAGGACGAGUCACAGAAAAAAAACCACUAUGAUAUGAAAAUGCUGUGUUAAUAUUCAAGAAUAUAAAUAGGAGAGAUUCCAU